rnacentral:tRNA from 1 species
GCGAGGGUGGCGAAAUUGGUAGACGCAGCAGGUUUAGGUCCUGCCGGUCGAAAGAUCGUGAGGGUUCGAAUCCCUUUCCUCGCA